AGAGUUUGAUUCUGGCCCAGAACGAACGCUGGCAGCGUGGAUUAGGCAUGCAAGUCGAACGGAAGAGGUUUCAAACAAUCCUUCGGGAAAGUGAGAGGCCUCGAGAGUGGCGGAAGGGUUAGUAUCGCGUGGGCAAUCUGCCCUCAAGUUGGGAAUAGCCCGCCGAAAGGCGGAUUAAUGCCGAAUGUGGUUUGCGGUCGCAUGGCUGCAACACUAAAGGUGGGGAUCUUCGGACCUGCCGCUUGAGGAGGAGCCCGCGUACGAUUAGCUUGUUGGUGAGGUAACGGCCCACCAAGGCUAUGAUCGUUAGCUGGUCUGAGAGGAUGAUCAGCAACACUGGGACUGAGACACUGCCCAGACUCCUACGGGAGGCUGCAGUCGAGAAUCUUUUGCAAUGGGCGAAAGCCUGACAAAGCGACGCUGCGUGGAGGAUGAAGGCCUUAGGGUUGUAAACUCCUGUCGGGAGGGAAAAAUAAGCCGCCGGUUAAUAACCGGUGGAAUUGAUGGUACCUUCAGAGGAAGCCACGGCUAACUCUGUGCCAGCAGCCGCGGUAAUACAGAGGUGGCGAGCGUUGUUCGGAUUUACUGGGCGUAAAGGGUGCGUAGGCGGUUAAGUAAGUUAGGUGUGAAAGCCCAUGGCCCAACCAUGGAACUGCAUUUGAUACUGCUUGACUAGAGUACAGGAGGGGAGAGCGGAAUUCUUGGUGUAGCGGUGAAAUGCGUUGAUAUCAAGAAGAACACCGGUGGCGAAGGCGGCUCUCUGGAAUGUUACUGACGCUGAGGCACGAAAGCUGGGGGAGCAAACAGGAUUAGAUACCCUGGUAGUCCCAGCCGUAAACGGUGUCGACUUGGUGUGGGAGGAAUUAACCCCUUCCGUGCCGGAGCUAACGCGUUAAGUCGACCGCCUGGGGAGUACGGCCGCAAGGCUAAAACUCAAAGAAAUUGACGGGGGCCCGCACAAGCGGAGGAGCAUGUGGCUUAAUUCGAUGCAACGCGAAGAACCUUACCCAGACUUGACAUAUACCUGCACAUCCUGUGAAAGCAGGAUUCUUUCGAAGGUGGUAUACAGGUGCUGCAUGGCUGUCGUCAGUUCGUGCCGUGAGGUGUUUGGUUAAGUCCAGCAACGAACGCAACCCUUGUGACUAGUUGCCACCGGAGGUGUUAAGCCUUCGAGCACUCUAGUCAGACUGCCCGUGCAAGCGGGAGGAAGGUGGGGAUGACGUCAAGUCAGUAUGACCCUUACGUCUGGGGCUGCACACGUGCUACAAUGGCCGGUACAGAAGGUUGCAAUACCGCGAGGUGGAGCUAAUCCCCAAAACCGGCCCCAGUUCGGAUUGGAGUCUGCAACUCGACUCCAUGAAGUCGGAUUCGCUAGUAACGGCGUAUCAGCUACGACGCCGUGAAUACGUUCCCGGGCCUUGUACACACCGCCCGUCACAUCAUGAAAGCCGUCUGCACCCGAAGUCGUUGAUCCAACCCGCAAGGGAGGAAGGCGCCGAAGGUGUGGGUGGUAAUUGGGAUGAAGUCGUAACAAGGUA
rnacentral:rRNA from 1 species